rnacentral:rRNA from 1 species
GACGAACGCUGGCGGCGUGCCUAAUACAUGCAAGUAGAACGCGCAGUUUAUACCGUAGCUUGCUACACCAUAGACUGUGAGUUGCGAACGGGUGAGUAACGCGUAGGUAACCUGCCUGGUAGCGGGGGAUAACUAUUGGAAACGAUAGCUAAUACCGCAUAAUAUUGAUUAUUGCAUGAUAAUUAAUUGAAAGGUGCAAUUGCACCACUACCAGAUGGACCUGCGUUGUAUUAGCUAGUAGGUGAGGUAACGGCUCACCUAGGCGACGAUACAUAGCCGACCUGAGAGGGUGAUCGGCCACACUGGGACUGAGACACGGCCCAGACUCCUACGGGAGGCAGCAGUAGGGAAUCUUCGGCAAUAGACGAAAGUCUGACCGAGCAACGCCGCGUGAGUGAAGAAGGUUUUCGGAUCGUAAAGCUCUGUUGUAAGAGAAGAACGGGUGUGAGAGUGGAAAGUUCACACUGUGACGGUAUCUUACCAGAAAGGGACGGCUAACUACGUG